UACGAAGGGUGCAAACGUUGCUCGGAAUCAUUGGGCGUAAAGCGCACGUAGGCGGCUUCGCAAGUCGGAUGUGAAAUCCCUCGGCUCAACCAAGGACGUGCAUCCGAAACUGCAAAGCUUGAGUACAGAAGAGGAUCGCGGAAUUCCCGGUGUAGAGGUGAAAUUCGUAGAUAUUCGCAAGAACACCAGUGGCGAAGGCGGCUCACUGGCCCGGUACUGACGCUGAGGUGCGAAAGCGUGGGGAGCAAACAGG
rnacentral:rRNA from 1 species